GCCGUUCCGCAGGGCCCCCCCCCAGCAGCUGCUCCAGCAGCGCCAGCGCCGCCCCCACGGCCUGGCGGGGCCCCCCCGGCCCCUGCGGGCACCCCGGAAUCAGGGGGGACCCCCAAACCCCACCGGGACCCCAAAACCCCACAGGGGACCCCCAAACCCCAUGGGGACCCCAAAACCCCACCAGGACCCCCAAACCCCACCAGGACCCCAAAACCCCGCAGGGGACCCCAAAACCCCGCAGGGGACCCCCAAACCCCACCGGGACCCCAAAACCCCAAAGGGGACCCCCAAACCCCACCGGGGACCCCCAAACCCCACAGGGGAGCCCCAAACCCCACCAGGCACCCCGAAACCCCACAGGGCACCCCAAAACCCCACUGGGGACCCCAAAACCCCACCGGGCACCCCAAAACCCCACUGGGGACCCCCAAACCCCACAGGGCACCCCCAAACCCCACAGGGGACCCCAAAACCCCACAGGGGACCCCCAAACCCCACAGGGCACCCCAAAACCCCACAGGGGACCCCCAAACCCCACAGGGGACCCCCAAACCCCAAAGGGGACCCCAAAACCCAGGGGGAAAACCCGGAAUUAGGGGGGACCCCGAAACCCCCAGGGAGACCCCAAAAACCCCACAGGGCACCCCCAAAUCCCACAGGGGACCCCAAAAUCCCAUGGGGACCCCAAAACCCCACAGGGGACCCCCAAACCCCACCGGGGACCCCGAAACCUCAUGGGGACCCCAAAACCCCACCGGGGACCCCCAAACCCCACAGGGGACCCCAAAACCCCACAGGGCACCCCCAAACCCCACCGGGCACCCCCAAACCCCCGGGGGCAAACCCGGAAUCAGGGGGGACCCCCAAACCCCCGGGGGGGGAACUUGGAAUUGGGGGGACCCCAAAGUCACCAGGGGGACCCCAAAACCCCCACAGGGAGAAACCCAGAAUCAGGGGGACCCCAAAACCCCCAGGGAGAUCCCAAAAACCCCACAGGGGGAACCAGAAUUGGGGGACCCCAAAACCCCACAGGGGACCCCCAAACCCCACAGGGCACCCCCAAACCCCCGGGGGCAAACCCGGAAUCAGGGGGGACCCCGAAACCCCCGGGGGGGGGAACCUGGAAUUGGGGGACCCCCAAACCCCACCGGGCACCCCGAAACCCCCGGGGAGGGGGAGGGGAAAGAACACCCCAAAAAAGGGACCCGAAAUGACGGGGAGAGACCCCAAAACCCACGGGAGGACCCCGAAACCCCCACAGGAGGACCCCAAAAACCCCACGGGAGGAAUCUGGAAUUUGGGGACCCCAAAGUCACCAGGGGGACCCCAAAAACCCCCAGGGAGACUCCAAAAACCCCAUAAGGGGAACCCGGAAUCGGGGGGACCCCAAAACCCCCAGGGGGACCCCAAAAACCUCACGGGGGGAAUCCAGAAUUGGGGGGGACCCCAAAACCCCCAGGGGGACCCCAAAAACCUCACGGGGGGAAUCCAGAAUUGGGGGGGACCCCAAAACCCCCAGGGAGACCCCAAAACCCCAUGGAGGAACCCCCAAAAUCUCGGGGGAAACCAAAAACCACCCAGGGAACCCCCCCAGGGCUCCAGGGGGACCCCAAAACUUCCAGCGAGACCCCAAAACCCCCCAGGGAGCAGCUGGGAAGGGACCCCAAACCCUCCCGGGGGUCUCGGGGUUUUGGGGACCCCCCCCAGGACCCCAAACCCUCCCUGGGGUUUUGGGGAACCCCCCAGGACCCCAAACCCUCCCGGGGGUCUCGGGGUUUUGGGGACCCCCGGCUCGGGGGGCGCUCACCGGGCUGGGGCUGUCGGGGGGCUCCAGCUGUGCCACGAACGAGGGGCUGGGGGACCCCAAAACCUCCCUGAGGGGCUGCCCAGAGCCCCCCAAAACCUUGGGGGACCCCCGGCGCUCCCCAGCCUCCUGCCAGGACCCCCCCAAACCCCACAGGGAGUCCCCCAGACCCCCCCGCUGC
rnacentral:lncRNA from 1 species